AAUGAUGGAGAGUAACAUUUUUUUGGGGAUAGUGAGCUUCCUCGACCUGGUGACAAGGACCUUUGUUGGCUUGGUGAAGACGACCUUUGUCCACUUGGUGAUAAGGACCUCCUUUGGUCUGGUGACAAUGACCUACGCCACCUAGGUGACACGGACCUAUGCCGACUCGACAAUGGGGACCUUCGUCGACUUGGGGAGGGGGACCUACGUCGUGCUGGCGAUGGGGAUCUACGCCAGCUUGGUGAUGGUGACCUGCGUCGCAUGGAUAAGGGUGAUCUACGCCGAGGAGGUGACAAAUAUCUACGGCGUCGACUAAUGGAGGGGGACCUACGACGUCGAAUAGGUGAUGGUGACCUGCGUCGUCGAAUAGGUGAUGGUGAUCUACGUCGAUAAGGAGAACGUAGUUUUCGUCGUAGCGGAGAUGGUGAUUUCCAAGGUGACCUAGAUCUUCUCUUAGAAUAUGAUGACCUUCGUCUUGAAGGAGAAACAGAGGCCCGUGGUGAACCCCUACGACGUGGUGUAAUAGAUUGCUUUCUU
rnacentral:lncRNA from 1 species